AGAAGGACAGCUCUGACUCACUCUUUCUUUCUCUGGGCACCUGCGCGCCCACCAUGUCAAGUCAUGCUGAGGCGUGCCGAGUCCAAGAGCCAUGUCUCUGGUGCACAGUGUUAACAGGGCAGUUAUACCUUUUACAGACAACUGUGGCUCCAAGUCAAGUAUGAACUUACACAAACAGGUUAUAUAACAAGUGGAGGUGUGCGCCUGCGUGCCAAACUUGCUGACUCACACAGGCCUGGAUACCCGCCUCGGCCUAUUCCUUGACCAAAGCACAUCAAGGGCAGGAAACGGAAGCGCUUGGGAAGGCGGAAGUUGCACGUGCUCUCACAGUCAACUGUGCUGGAAUAGGAGGCCAGGAAUCACCUCUGUUGGAGGAGGAGGACCCAUCAGGCAUCCCUUCAAGAAUGCCAAGGUCCACAGCAAGCGCUUCCCUUCUAUGGGCACAGGAGGGCUGUGGGAGCCCAGAAAAUGUGCUUCUGGCCAGAGUGGCAUCCCCAAGGAAGACAUUAAGACCUCUAAAAUAUUUGAGAGCAAAAUUAACACAGCUCCAGCCCAUGGGCAAGUUAGAGACAGGAGUGGUGUCUGUAGAAUGGAGGAAAGCAGAGGCUGCCACUGACCAUCCUGCAGCCCUUGCUCUGACUGCUCCCAGUUCUGCACCUUCUCUGGACUUUGUCACUUCAGUACAUGAAACAACCAUUUCAACCAGGUUGGACAAAAAAGAGAAGCCAAGAUGGGGCUGAGAAACCAAUGCAGCCAGGCCCAGGGAUCCAGGAUUCAGGGACCAGGUGCUGCCGGAUGUUUGCUCCGACUCGUGUUGCUGCUGUCUUCUCUGUGCCUCAAUUCUGUCCUCUAUCACUGCAGGCAGCUUCCUCCCAAGGUGGAAGGCAAUAUAUUCCACCUCACGAAAUCAGCCUUCACCACAAGAUUGCUUUGACCAAUGGGAUGUGAGUAGAAGUUUGAAGAAUCACACACUGGUCCACCACCUUGUUUCUCAUCCCUCUGACAUAAGCAACGUCCCAGAUUGGGGCUGUUCUGUUAGCCUGGCUUCCAGAAUGAAGAGAGCUCAUCAAAUGGCAUAUGUAACAGAAUAAGAAAAUAAACCUUUGUUAUUGUAAACCAUUGA